UGAUCAACACUGAACACAGACUCACCAUGAAGUUUGGGCUGAGCUGGCUUUUCCUCGUUGCUCUUUUAAAAGGUGUCCAGUGUGAGGAGAAGCUGGUGGAGUCUGGAGGAGGCUUGGUGAAGCCUGGGGGAUCCCUGACACUCUCUUGUGCGGCCUCUGGAUUCACCUUCAGUUAUUACAACAUGCACUGGGUCCGCCAAGCUCCAGGGAAGGGGCUGGAGUGGGUGGCAGCAAUAAGUGAUGAUGGAAGUGGUAAAUACUACCUAGACUCUGUGAAAGGCCAAUUCACCAUCUCCAGAGACAAUUCCAAGAACACCGUGUCCCUGCAAAUGAGCCGUCUGUGA